CGCUGCGAGGCGACAAUCAGGGUAAAGCGCCAAGCCCCGAUUUGACAUCGGGGCUUUUUGUUAUGUGCAAUUUACUCUGAACCAAUUUCUAUCUGGGCUUUAUGCCCUUUUUUU
rfam:Aeromonas hydrophila subsp. hydrophila ATCC 7966, complete genome.